rnacentral:tRNA from 2 species
GGCUGGUUGGUGAAGUGGCCUAACACACUGGUUUUAGGAUGUCUGCCAAUUUGCAUUGCAAACACGUGUCCCACACCAGGAUUCCUGGGUUCGAAUCCCAGACUAGUCA